rnacentral:rRNA from 1 species
GAUGAACGCUAGCGGCAGGCUUAAUACAUGCAAGUCGAGGGGUCAGCAAUGACACCGGCGGACGGGUGCGUAACGCGUAUGCAACCUACCUACAUCAGGGGGAUAGCCCUAGGAAACUGGGAUUAACACCGCAUAAUAUUAUUAAUGGCAUCAUUGAUAAUUGAAAUAUUUAUAGGAAGUAGAUGGGCAUGCGUAAGAUUAGCUAGUUGGUAAGGUAACGGCUUACCAAGGCUACGAUCUUUAGGGGCUCUGAGAGGAGUAUCCCCCACACUGGCACUGAGAUACGGGCCAGACUCCUACGGGAGGCAGCAGUAGGGAAUAUUGGGCAAUGGAGGCAACUCUGACCCAGCCAUGCCGCGUGCAGGAAGACGGCCCUCUGGGUUGUAAACUGCUUUUGAAUGGGAAGAAUGUGUGGCUUGCGAGCUAUAAUGACGUACCAUUAGAAUAGCCACGCUAACUACGUGCCAGCAGCCGACGGUAAACGU